rnacentral:lncRNA from 1 species
CACCUGUCUGCCUUUCUGAAGCAUGCUUCUUGGUCCUGUGCACUUCGCAGGUGAUGGUGUAAAAGGCAAACCUGUGUCAUGAGGGAUGAUCAUCGUCUUGUGUGGUCCUUGGAGAUGGCAGGAAGCCCUGGACAAUACACAGUGUUUGCUCCUUCAGAGGCUGUUGGAAUCCUCCUGGAUGUAAGUGAUUCUACUCCAAAGCACCCUGAGUUUCCUCAUUUGCAGGGAUGGAGAUUGUGUGUGGAUCGAUGAUGACUUCCAUAUAUACAUUCCUUGGAAAGCUGAACAAAAUGAGUGAAAACUCUAUACCGUCAUCCUCGUCGAACUGAGGUCCAGCACACUGCUCCAUCAGGGGCUCAAGAGAGAGAAGAACAACGUCCAUUUGUUGACACAGGCUGCACCAAGGCUUCGGAUGGGGUCUUUUUCUGGCAAAGGAGAGUAGCUGGGAAUUUUGGACAUUUGUAACUAAGAGACAGCUUGGUUGCAGGCAGUCAGGUGGUGUGGGCAUGGAAGGAAGGCCAGUGGAGACAAUGGAUGAUCUUGCUCUUAGAAGAUCACUGGAGGUGGCAGGGAGUCCUAGGACACGUGUGGCGUGGGCCUCUUCAGGUGCUGGUGGUGUUGGCAUGAAAGGAAAGGAGGUAUCUUCGAGGGACAAUCUUCGCCUUGUGCGAUCCUCGGAGAUGCCACGAGAACUCUGGACACAUGUGGUGCGGGCUCCUUUGGAGGCUGUUGAAUCCCUUCUGAAUGUGGUGCGGGCAUAGGAGGAAGGCCAUGAAGGACAAUCUUGGUCUUGGGAGAUCCUUGGAAUUGAUAGGGAGCCCCUUGAUAUGUGUGGCAUGGGCUCCUUCAGGUGCUAGCGGACUCCUUAGGAUGGUAAGUGUC